rnacentral:tRNA from 1 species
GAAGAUACAGCUCAGUGGUAGAGUGUGUAUUUAGUGUGCACAAGGACCUGGGUUCAAUCCCCAGUACCUCCA